AUGCCGCUAAAGAUAUUUAUGAUAUUUUUUUUUCUGAUUUAUAGCGGGACUUAAAAAUAUCUCUAAUGGUCAUUUUUAUUGCAAUGGUGGAGCAACGCAUCCGAGAGAAGGGGAAGAGCAUGUCGUGGUGGAACCCGAUCUAUAGUGUUUUGACCAAAGCGAUCAAAGAGAAAGAGGAAGGAAACUAGGAAAGGAAAUAAACUUUGGGCUUAUAGUGGGAGAGAAGAUGUGGUUCCCUGACCUCAAAGCUUGCAUGGGGAAAAGUUGUAGGUUUUGGAAAGAAGAGGAGG
rnacentral:lncRNA from 1 species